AUACUUACCUGGCACAGGCUUUCUUUGACAGUGAUCCCUCGCAAGGCUGUGGGCCCGGGGCGAGACCUUCCAUUGCACAUCGGUUUGGUUGACCCCUGCGAUCGUCCCAAAUGUGGACGACUCGGGUGCGCAAUUUAUAAGUGUGGGGGACUGCGUUCCUGCGCCCCCUUU
rnacentral:snRNA from 1 species